rnacentral:rRNA from 1 species
AGAGUUUGAUCAUGGCUCAGAAUGAACGCUGGCGGCGUGCCUAACACAUGCAAGUCGAGCGAGAAAGUUCCUUCGGGAAUGAGUAAAGCGGCGGACGGUUGAGUAACACGUGAGAAUCUACCCUUUAGUGAAGAAUACCUUCGAGAAAUCGAAAUUAAUACUGCAUAAGUCCCUUCGGGGAGAAAAGUGGCCUCUUUGCUACUGCUAAAGGAUGAGCUUGCGGACUAUCAGCUAGUUGGUGAGGUAAAGGCUCACCAAGGCUAUGACGGUUAGCCGGCCUGAGAGGGUGAACGGCCAGACUGGAACUUAGACACGGUCCAGACUCCUACGGGAGGCAGCAGUGAGGAAUAUUGCGCAAUGGGCGAAAGCCUGACGCAGCGACGCCGCGUGGAGGAUGAAGGUUUUCGGAUCGUAAACUCCUGUUAAGUGGGAAGAAAAGUCUGUGGUUAAUACCCGCAGAAAAUGACGGUACCAUUAUAGAAAGCACCGGCUAACUACGUG